ACAUAAAAACCCUUGUACUGUGGCGAGUAUGAGCUCUAAUUUAUACAGAAAGAUAUUUAGAGGAUCUAAAAUAUCUGGCUAAGAAGUCCACGGUGGCAACUUAGAUAGUACUGAUCUGGAAUUAGAUAUUGCACUUUUUCACACCUUUCCCUAAACAUUUAAUUACAGAAAUUAAUUAAAUCAUUUUUAAUUACCGCUUUGCUCUUUUUCCCAAACCAGAAGACCCCCCUCUCUCUCCUCUGCGAAUCUUCCGAUGACCACUCCAGAAAUAUCUCCCAACAGAACUCUCUCUCUCUCUCUCUCUAACUCCACAAUUCUCUCUUUUUGAUCCGAAACCGAAGCAAUUUUGAUGACUAGAGAUUGGUUGUGAUUCGUGAAUUUGGAGCUGUGAAGAUGGGGGAAGAAGUGAGGAUGAGUGAGUACGAUGGCGGCGGUGGUGGCCGUGGCGGAGAAGAUGACAGAGUGUUGGAGUGGGAGGUAGGGUUGCCGAGCGCCGACGAUCUGACGCCGUUGUCUCAGCCGUUGAUUCCUCACGAGCUGGCGUCGGCGUUCAGCAUCUCGCCGGAGCCCUCCCGGAGCAUGAUGGAGGUGAAUCGCGCCUCUCAGAACACGCUCUCGACGAUCCGAGCGCAGUUUAAUGCGUUGUCCGCGUCGAAUAAUUUCAAUUUCAAGUCGUUUAACGAAGAUAGGGCUAAGGAAGGAUUGGCUAUGGAUGUGGACGAGGCGGAUCUGACUAGAGACGGUUCGGAAUCAAGGAAAUUGAGGAGGAUCGACAGCGGUGUCGAAGAGGCCGACUCGGCGUUGAGGUCGGAGAACGGAAACGAUGAUCCAUCGGCGAGGACGCUGAAGCGGCCGCGACUUGUCUGGACGCCUCAGCUGCACAAGCGAUUCGUAGACGUUGUUGCGCAUUUAGGUAUCAAAAACGCGGUUCCGAAGACAAUUAUGCAGUUGAUGAAUGUCGAGGGAUUGACUCGGGAAAACGUAGCGAGUCACUUGCAGAAGUAUCGACUCUACUUGAAGAGGAUGCAGGGGUUAUCGAACGAAGGUCCUUCGUCAUCUGAUCAUCUCUUCGCUUCGACGCCGGUGCCGCAGAGCCUACAUGAAUCCGGGAAUGGGAGCGGGAACGGGAACGGACACGUGGCGAUGCCGAUUCCAAUGCCGUAUCCGCUGCAGAUGAUGCAUAUGCCGGUGAUGGGGCAUGGCCAUAUGGGGAUGCCGGCUGCUCCUGGUCCUUAUCAUGGGUUUGACUCGCAUCCGUAUAAUAUGGUGCAGCAGAGGGACUGGUCUGGAAAUAAGUUUGGCUCUGUUGCAUCUUUUCAACAUGUUACUCCUAAUGAUAAGUAGAGAGAUAUUUCUAUCAUGAUGAUCUCUUCAUGAGGACUGAUCGAUGGGGUUCACUUUAUUCUAGAGCUGUUUUGCGUCAGCUGCUCCCUACUUUUUUGCUGAUAGUGUGACUAAGGUUGAAGUUUGCCUAGUUUCCAGCUAAGCUUGAAUACCAUUUUGGUGCUUGUCAGCUGAAAAGAGCCAAGCUUGAGCAUGGGUGGAUGUGGUUCAUUGAGGCUCUAUUCAACAUGAGAAUGUAUGGGAAAAAAGUUGUACUUGCUCAUAUAAUUAUAUGUAAAGUAUAUGAUGUCUAAUUCUUUAGUAGUUUCUUCCUAUUUGGAAGUUGGGGUCAUUUCAAUUUUCGUGCAUGUUUGUAGAUAUUAUAUUGCUAACCUGUCUAAAUCCAUCAACGAGCAACACACAGCAUCUAUAAAGAGUUUGGUUGCAAUUGAUUCAAAGCAUUGAUAAACUUGGCACACGCUUUAACCCAUGGAACUCAACUUGCUUAAUUUGUCACUGGACCUGCCAGAUAUGAGUGGAGUUCUUAGGAAAUCACUGGAGAGCAAAUUGGAGUUGUAUUCCAGUAUCAUUUGGGUAUACAUGAAUCAGGAAAAGAUACAAGCUCUCUCUCUCUCUCUCACUCUCUCUGCAUAUUCUUGCUAUGUCAAAGUGGGAAGGAGGGUCCCGGUGUAUUAUGUCUGGUCUUUGCAGAGGAUUGAAAGUUAUGAAGUAUAUUCUUGACCCGUAUUUUGAUCAAUAAAUGGUGUUAUCUCAUGUAUUAAUGACUAUUAAACUUCUUUUCAGCGGCAAAGCAAAAUGUCGAUUGAAAACUAAGCCGAAAAUUAAUCAGCAGUUGUUGGAUCCUGGCAUAUUGUUUCUGGUUUACUAGAUCUUGGAAAAUCCUUAAAAGUACAUGAAAUCGACAAUGAAGUUGAACUGG